GGCGUUAUGGCAGAGUGGUCUAAUGCGUGUGACUAGAAAUCACAUCCCUUCGGGGGCGGCGGUUCGAAUCCGCCUGACGUCG